GAUGAACGCUGGCGGCGUGCCUAAUACAUGCAAGUCGAGCGAACAGACGAGGAGCUUGCUCCUCUCACGUUAGCGGCGGGCGGGUGAGUAACACGUGUAUAACCUACCUAUAAUUCUGGGAUCACUUCGGAAAACCGGAGCUAAUACCGGAUAAUCUCUUGAACCGCAUGGUUCAAUGGUGAAAUUCGGCUUUGCUGUCACUUAUAGCUGCUUACGCGCCGUAUGAGCUAGUUGGUAGGGUAACGGCUUUCCAAGGCAACGAUGCGUAGCCGACCUGACGGGGUGGUCGGCGGCAUGGGAAGGGAGACGCGGACCAGAGUCCUACGAGAGGGAGCAGUAGGCAAUGUGACGCAACGGGCGAAAGCCUGACGGAACGAGGCGGCGUGUGUUAUGGAGGUCUUCGGAUCGUAAAACUGGGUUAUGAGGGAAGAACAAAUGUGGAAGUAACUAUGGACGUAUUGACGGUACCUAGUCAGAAAGCAACGGCUAACUACGUG
rnacentral:rRNA from 1 species